rfam:Picea glauca, whole genome shotgun sequence.
UCAUAUGUACAUACCUACAACGUUAAUGCACUGGAUCCCAUUAUAAAUCCCUAGUUAAGCGUGCUUGGGAUAUAGUAGUACUAGGAUGGGUUACCUCCCAGGAAGUCCUAGUGUUUUACAUGCC